AUUGAACGCUGGCGGCAGGCCUAACACAUGCAAGUCGAGCGGAUGAAGGGAGCUUGCUCCUGGAUUCAGCGGCGGACGGGUGAGUAAUGCCUAGGAAUCUGCCUGGUAGUGGGGGAUAACGUCCGGAAACGGGCGCUAAUACCGCAUACGUCCUGAGGGAGAAAGUGGGGGAUCUUCGGACCUCACGCUAUCAGAUGAACCUAGGUCGGAUUAGCUAGUUGGUGGGGUAAAGGCCUACCAAGGGGACGAUCCGUAACUGGUCUGAGAGGAUGAUCAGUCACACUGGAACUGAGACACGGUCCAGACUCCUACGGGAGGCAGCAGUGGGGAAUAUUGGACAAUGGGCGAAAGCCUGAUCCAGCCAUGCCGCGUGUGUGAAGAAGGUCUUCGGAUUGUAAAGCACCUUAAGUUGGGAGGAAGGGCAGUAAGUUAAUACCUUGCUGUUUUGACGUUACCAACAGAAUAAGCACCGGCUAACUUCGUG
rnacentral:rRNA from 1 species